rnacentral:lncRNA from 1 species
GGUACUUUGGCUGCUUGUAACCUAGAUCAAGGAACCAUUGAUUGUUUCACAUAUCUGUAUUUGGUCUAAAUGGAAAACAAAAAACAAGGAUGUAUAUUAGCGUCGAGAUUGUAUAUACCCAUACUUUUCGUAAUUUCAUGCUUAUAAUUGUGAUCAUGUAUAAGCUAAUAUAAUAUUAGAACAAUAGAUAAGAUUGUUGAUGACACAAUAUUUGAUCAUCUUGCUUCUGUUUAUUGAUUCAAAUAAUCUGUUGUGAAAGAUUAGGACCUAAGCUGCUUUUAAUCCAAAUUGACUGUAAAUCUCUUUCAGUUCAUAAAAUCCAGUACAGGUAAAUAUUUUACCUGCAGCAAGGUGCUUAGAUAACAGAAAAUGCUUUAUGCAGAAGGUUUUUAAUUUGAUUGUAGCUUAUGCACCUUAUAAUGGCGAUCUUAAUUCAGUGAUAUGUGUGCAAAUGGCUAUAUUCGAAACACACCUGCUCUACACCUAGUUCGGCUGUAAUGUGCAAAGAAUGCCAAAUCAAGAAAAAAAGUACUAUUAUGUUGCGGAAUACUCAUGGUUAACUAGUACAUAAUCACACAUAAAGCAAAUAGAAAAGUUGAAAUAACAUUAAGUAUUUAACGAGGUUUAAUCAAGCCAAGUUCUCAAGGCAGAAGCAGAAAAAAGACAGUAUACUACCUGAGAUAAACAAUUACAAUCCAUUUUUAAUACCCCAAGUAUUUCCUAUACUUAUGGGGCCACUGGGCCUUAAGACGAGAACAUAACAUGAUUCGGAUUCAAGUCAUGCGGCUGCGCUCUGGUCACGCAAGGAUCGUGCAACUCUCAGGAGCUGUCCCAGACCGUGCUCAAAUCACCAAAUCCUCAUAAGCUCUUCUGUGACCGGGCAGUGCCAAAAUUUAGUUCUGAGAUUUUAUUCGCUGAUCCACAACGCGGGCUUUCCUAGGUCACCAUAAAAUUCAAGAGACAAAGUCAAC